rfam:Salmo salar isolate Sally breed double haploid chromosome ssa13, whole genome shotgun sequence.
UAUAUUCACUACUGUAAGUCGCUCUGGAUAAGAGCGUCUGCUAAAUGUAAUGUA